rnacentral:rRNA from 1 species
UGGGGAAUAUUGGACAAUGGGCGCAAGCCUGAUCCAGCCAUGCCGCGUGAGUGAUGAAGGCCCUAGGGUUGUAAAGCUCUUUUGUGCGGGAAGAUAAUGACUGUACCGCACGAAUAAGCCCCGGCUAACUUCGUGCCAGCAGCCGCGGUAAUACGAAGGGGGCUAGCGUUGCUCGGAAUCACUGGGCGUAAAGGGUGCGUAGGCGGGUCUUUAAGUCAGGGGUGAAAUCCUGGAGCUCAACUCCAGAACUGCCUUUGAUACUGAGGAUCUUGAGUUCGGGAGAGGUGAGUGGAACUGCGAGUGUAGAGGUGAAAUUCGUAGAUAUUCGCAAGAACACCAGUGGCGAAGGCGGCUCACUGGCCCGAUACUGACGCUGAGGCACGAAAGCGUGGGGAGCAAACA